GACGUAGGGCGCGAGCGUUGUCCGGAUUUAUUGGGCGUAAAGAGCUCGUAGGCGGCUUGUCGCGUCGUUCGUGAAAACCCACGGCUCAACUGUGGGCUUGCGGUCGAUACGGGCAGGCUGGAGUUCGGUAGGGGAGACUGGAAUUCCUGGUGUAGCGGUGAAAUGCGCAGAUAUCAGGAAGAACACCCGUGGCUAAGGCGGCUCUCUAGUACGGUACUGACGCUGAGACGCGAAAGCGUGGGGAGCGAACAGG
rnacentral:rRNA from 1 species